GAGUCGAGCGGACAGAUGGGAGCUUGCUCCCUGAUGUUAGCGGCGGACGGGUGAGUAACACGUGGGUAACCUGCCUGUAAGACUGGGAUAACUCCGGGAAACCGGGGCUAAUACCGGAUGCUUGUUUGAACCGCAUGGUUCAAACAUAAAAGGUGGCUUCGGCUACCACUUACAGAUGGACCCGCGGCGCAUUAGCUAGUUGGUGAGGUAAUGGCUCACCAAGGCGACGAUGCGUAGCCGACCUGAGAGGGUGAUCGGCCACACUGGGACUGAGACACGGCCCAGACUCCUACGGGAGGCAGCAGUAGGGAAUCUUCCGCAAUGGACGAAAGUCUGACGGAGCAACGCCGCGUGAGUGAUGAAGGUUUUCGGAUCGUAAAGCUCUGUUGUUAGGGAAGAACAAGUACCGUUCGAAUAGGGCGGUACCUUGACGGUACCUAACCAGAAAGCCACGGCUAACUACGUGCCAGCAGCCGCGGUAAUACGUAGGUGGCAAGCGUUGUCCGGAAUUAUUGGGCGUAAAGGGCUCGCAGGCGGUUUCUUAAGUCUGAUGUGAAAGCCCCCGGCUCAACCGGGGAGGGUCAUUGGAAACUGGGGAACUUGAGUGCAGAAGAGGAGAGUGGAAUUCCACGUGUAGCGGUGAAAUGCGUAGAGAUGUGGAGGAACACCAGUGGCGAAGGCGACUCUCUGGUCUGUAACUGACGCUGAGGAGCGAAAGCGUGGGGAGCGAACAGGAUUAGAUACCCUGGUAGUCCACGCCGUAAACGAUGAGUGCUAAGUGUUAGGGGGUUUCCGCCCCUUAGUGCUGCAGCUAACGCAUUAAGCACCUCCGCCUGGGGAGUACGGUCGCAAGACUGAAACUCAAAGGAAUUGA
rnacentral:rRNA from 1 species